rnacentral:rRNA from 1 species
UACGUAGGGUGCGAGCGUUGUCCGGAAUUACUGGGCGUAAAGAGCUCGUAGGUGGUUUGUCGCGUUGUUCGUGAAAUUCCCUGGCUUAACUGGGGGCGUGCGGGCGAUACGGGCAGACUGGAGUACUGCAGGGGAGACUGGAAUUCCUGGUGUAGCGGUGGAAUGCGUAGAUAUCAAGUGGAACACCAGUGGCGAAGGCGAGUCUCUGGACAUUUCCUGACGCUGAGGCACGAAAGCCAGGGGAGCAAACGGG